rnacentral:rRNA from 1 species
AUUGAACGCUGGCGGCAGGCCUAACACAUGCAAGUCGAGCGGAGCUGCGGACGGGUGAGUACUGCCUAGGAAUCUGCCUGGUAGUGGGGGAUCACGUCCGGAAACGGGCGCUACUACCGCAUACUAUCAGAUGAUCCUCGGUCGGAUUAGCUAGGUGGUGGGUUAAAGGCCUACCAAGGCGACGAUCCGUACCUGGGCUGAGCGGAUGAUCAGUCACACUGGAACUGAGACACGGUCCAGACUCCUACGGGAGGCAGCAGUGGGGAAUAUUGGACAAUGGGCGAAAGCAUGAUCCAGCCAUGCCGCGUGUGGGAAGAAGGUCUUAGGAUUGUAAAGCACUGUAAGUUGGGAGGCGGUACCAACAGAAGAAGCACCGGCUAACUUCGUGCCAGCAGCCGCGGUAAUUC